UGCUGCUACCAGUCAUGUUAUUGUCAGCUUGUGUCUCAUGGAUGUCUCUAUUGAUCUGAGAUGUGGUAUUACUGGAAUCAUGUUGUGGCCCCAAGCAGAUACAUGCUGAAUUGGCUGCAACCAAACAGCAGCUGAAAAUCUAGGGGGAUGAAAUGCGGCCAGAGGCACGGUGGGAGCAAAUGCGGAUGAUUGGCAUGCUGGUGUGUCUCUGCAUCCUUACUGUGCCAUUUUUGAUGCCCUGCCGAUCAUUUCGAGAACCAAGACCCUGUGUGCCAUCACAGUACCCUACGGAAUCUACUCGACAUAUGUCCCUUUGGCAGCUGGGUCCACAACUGUCCACCCAGCUUACGCCCGCACCUCGGCAGCUGAGCCACACUUCCCCGGGUCAGUGAGGACAGAGAUUGAAGUACAAUGAAGCAGCAUGUUCUGGGUGGAUUCCAGGAGGAUGAAAGUGACAGACAGAGAAAGUGAGAGAGAAGAGGAUGUAACUGCAUUAUCCUUUUUAGUACUUACACUUUAUUAUUAUUAUUCAAGAAUGUUUUCAAACAGUGCCAUCAAAUGGCCAUUUCAACAGCAUGCAUGCACAUAUAUGAAGGCACCUAUAAUAUAACAAAUGCAAAAUCAUGAUAAUAUUUGGCUGCCUAUUGAUGCUUUUACAAAUGUGAUUAAAACAACACUAAUAAAAGGAUGCAAUUAUCCAGUUUCAGUCAGUAGGAUUAAUUUUUGAGCUGGUGGUUUAAUGAACGCAGUUACUGUAGAUCUGAGAAUCUCUAAAUGCAUUCUCAGAUUAUAUCUUUUGUGACCAGACAAUGUUUAAUAAAGAAAAUGUUCAUACUUUCUCUGUGAGAUAUUGGUUUGAGGUUCAUAUAUAAAAAUAAAACCUUAUAUGAAAUUGUGUCAUAGGUUUUCCUAAUUGACUGGAGUUAUAUUUUAAGUCUGAAACCUGGACUUGUUGAAAACAAUGGUUGCGUAGGUCAAACUGUCUGAUGUAUCCGGUGUCUGAAAGUCAAGGUAAAUUUAUAGCAAAAAAUAAACUAUUUUGGGGGAAAGUGACAAUUCAACAUAAUUUCUUAUAUGUAAAAAAAUAUAUACUGUUUUGAACUGUACCGCACUUACCUCAUCUCUUUUAUUUAUGUUUCCUUUUCCUGCAGACACAAAGAUAAUUAUCAGAUUAUGCUGAAAUUUUGGAAUUACUGUAUGAAACUGAUCUUACCAUAUCUGUUUCUUCUGAUAUUGCGGUAUAUUUUAUGACUAUUUUCUCUGUUUUCUGGUGUGCUGCGCUCUACUGGAAGAGGAUGAAGGAAAAUAGAUCAACACAUUUUUUGGAUAUCUUGUUAACAAUAGGCAACAUGAUGCUAGGUUUGCCGGAGGGUUCCUGUACUGAUACUAUGAAAAAUAUUUUGUUGAUUUAAAUACCUCUUUCAUGUCUCAUAUGGUUGAUAUUCAUAUAGACUGGUUCAGACUCCUGAGGGUUAGAGUGCACUGAAAUGAUGGCAAACACAGCAAGAGUUACACUGUACUUACACUUACACUUUUCUUACACUUUUUCUACAGAAAGAUUUCUAAUUUUUAAAGAUCUGAUUGUUUUUGUACCUGACUUCCGUUUCCUGUAGCAGUAGUACAAUAGAGCUCCAAGCAGUAUCCCAGUAAAUAGAGUCAAAACACAGCAAAAUAGUUUGUUGAUUACUGUAAGUAAAGGAAGACUUUUAAAAAAAAAUUUAAUUGUUAAUUACAUCUUGAGGAUGAGCUAGAACAUUUACAUUGUACAUCUUGAGCUCACAAUUCCAUUCUGAGU
ensembl:lncRNA